rnacentral:rRNA from 1 species
UACGAAGGGGGCUAGCGUUGUUCGGAUUUACUGGGCGUAAAGCGCGUGUAGGCGGGUCGUUAAGUUGGGGGGUGAAAUCCCGAGGCUCAACCUCGGAACUGCCUUCAAAACUGGCGACCUGGAGCAAAGAAGAGGCGAGUGGAAUUGCGAGUGUAGAGGUGAAAUUCGUAGAUAUUCGCAGGAACACCAGUGGCGAAGGCGACUCGCUGGUCUUUUGCUGACGCUGAGACGGCGAAAGCGUGGGGAGCAAACAGG